AUUGAACGCUGGCGGCAGGCCUAACACAUGCAAGUCGAGCGGAUGAAGGGAGCUUGCUCCUGGAUUCAGCGGCGGACGGGUGAGUAAUGCCUAGGAAUCUGCCUGGUAGUGGGGGAUAACGUCCGGAAACGGGCGCUAAUACCGCAUACGUCCUGAGGGGGAAAGUGGGGGAUCUUCGGACCUCACGCUAUCAGAUGAGCCUAGGUCGGAUUAGCUAGUUGGUGGGGUAAGGGCCUACCAAGGCGACGAUCCGUAACUGGUCUGAGAGGAUGAUCAGUCACACUGGAACUGAGACACGGUCCAGACUCCUACGGGAGGCAGCAGUGGGGAAUAUUGGACAAUGGGCGAAAGCCUGAUCCAGCCAUGCCGCGUGUGUGAAGAAGGUCUUCGGAUUGUAAAGCACUUUAAGUUGGGAGGAAGGGCAGUAAGUUAAUACCUUGCUGUUUUGACGUUACCAACAGAAUAAGCACCGGCUAACUUCGUG
rnacentral:rRNA from 1 species